rnacentral:rRNA from 1 species
UACAGAGGUCCCAAGCGUUGUUCGGAUUCAUUGGGCGUAAAGGGUGCGUAGGCGGCGCGGUAAGUCGGGUGUGAAAUCUCGGGGCUUAACUCCGAAACUGCAUUCGAUACUGCCGUGCUUGAGGACUGGAGAGGAGACUGGAAUUUACGGUGUAGCGGUGAAAUGCGUAGAUAUCGUAAGGAAGACCAGUGGCGAAGGCAGCUCUCUGGGACGGUACUGACGCUGAGACGCGAAAGCGUGGGGAGCGAACAGG